UAAUAAGUGUUUAUGGCACUUCAUAAAUCCAUAUCCACCUUGUGUGCAAUGUCAGCCGUUUUCUUUAUGAAAGCGGCCAAACAUCAACUUAUUUUUUAACUGUCUGUCUGAAAACUAUUAUGAAUAAACAAUUCAAAUA
rnacentral:misc_RNA from 1 species